rnacentral:lncRNA from 1 species
CGGGGAGACUCUCUUCUUCCUUUGCCAUCGCAGUCUCAUCCUUUCUUUCUCAUUUUCUCCUGUGCAUACCUUCACUUCUCAGUCUCGGUGUCCUCCCGGCCCCGACCUCCCAUUCACUCCCGAAUUCUUGGCCCCCCAUCCGCCCCUCUGGCCGAGGAUAGCCCGGGCCGCACCUGCAGGGGAGCGCAGAGCCCGGCCCCGCCGAGGGAAAGGCGGUGACGUAGCGGGGAGGACCCGGCUCGCUGACGUCAGUGCCGCAGCGGUCCCGAGCGGACCCCAAGAAUGGCAAUUCAAGGAGGGGAAAACGGCGGCGAUCCCGCGGCAGAGCGACCGCUCCGCGACUGCAGCGUGCUUUGGGUUUCUGGGGUCGGGGGGCUCGAGUCACGCCUUUCUCGCGGACCGGCUCCACCCCCUGCGCGCUCCAACGCCAGAGCUCAGCCGGGUGGGGAACGUUCCCCAAACGGUGCGGGCCUCCCGCGCACGCGCCCUGGGGGGAGGAGCGGGGAGGGGCUGGGGCGUUGCGGGGUGAGGUUGGCGCGGGAGGAAGGUGAGUCGCGGGAGCGGACUGUGAAAGGACCGCCAGGGCCGGUCCCGCAGCACGUCCUCAGCCGCCGAGGGGCCAUCAGCUUCAGCUCCAGCUCCGCGCUCUUCGGCUGCCCCAAUCCCCGGCAGCUGUCGCAGGUAAUCGCCGUCGCCGGGGGCCCCCACCUGGGGGCGCCGCUCUUUUGUUUCCCUCUGCCCACCGGCCGCACCUCCGCGACACCCUCAGCCGUUGCCGCGCACCCCGGACCCAGCGUUGUCCAUUGUUAGCGGAUUCCUGGGCUGCUCCCUGUCGAGUCCAGACCCUUUUCUUUCAUCUUCGCGCCUGUCCGCCCCCAGCCCUCCGGCCUCUUCAGACCCCGCUCUUGGGUGGGCUCCGGCCAGUCAGACCCUCCGCAGGCUCUUCACGGAUGACUUUGUGGUCCUCCCUUUCCCAUUAUCCCUGGUCUCGACGUCGGGCCCCUCUUAGUUGUGGCCCUGGGCACACCUGCCCUUCGCCCCCACCCCCACCCCCGGCGCCCCUUGGCCGCGUGGGCGCCACGCCCCCAGCCCCUGCGCGCGCCGCGGUGCCCGGGUGGUCCUGCAGUUCCCUGGACAAUAGGCCGAGAUGCCCCGCAGCUGCCUUCUUCCCGAU